rnacentral:lncRNA from 1 species
GGCUUUCAGGAUAGAAAAUGGAACAGAUGCCUCUCUGUCCCAUAUUAUGAUCUGGAUUAUCUGCUGAGCAGUUCAGGGACACAAAAGCUAUUAACAAGUGCUCUGGAGGAAAGCACCACUACUGAACUGGUGAGUAAACAUUUCAAUAAAGGUAUUAGAAAAAUACCUUUAUUUUUCUAUAAAUAAAAA